CCCCUUACCUGGCGGGGGACAGGCCGUGGUCAGGAAGGGGGUUCUCCCUGGACGAGGCUAGUCCACUGCACUUCGGCGGCGCUGACCCCUGCGAUUUCCCCACACGCGGGGCCCUGAUCUGCGGUGGUGUUAGUGCUGCCCGGCAGCU
rnacentral:snRNA from 2 species